UACGUAGGGGGCGAGCGUUGUCCGGAAUUACUGGGCGUAAAGAGUACGUUGGCGGUCCUGUAAGCGUAUGGUGAAAGGCAUCGGCUCAACCAGUGUCAGCCGUGCGAACUGCAGGACUUGAGUGCGGGAGAGGAAAGCGGAAUUCCUGGUGUAGCGGUGAAAUGCGUAGAGAUCAGGAGGAACACCGGUGGCGAGGGCGGCUUUCUGGACCGUAACUGACGCUGAGGUACGAAGGCGUGGGGAGCAAACA
rnacentral:rRNA from 1 species